rnacentral:rRNA from 1 species
UACGGGGGGGGCAAGCGUUGUUCGGAAUUACUGGGCGUAAAGGGCGCGUAGGCGGCUCGCUAAGUCGGGUGUGAAAACUCUGGGCUCAACCCAGAGCCUGCAUUCGAAACUGACGGGCUAGAGUUCUGGAGGGGAAAGCGGAAUUCCUGGUGUAGCAGUGAAAUGCGUAGAUAUCAGGAGGAACACCGGUGGCGAAGGCGGCUUUCUGGACAGAAACUGACGCUGAUGCGCGAAAGCUAGGGGAGCAAACAGG